rnacentral:rRNA from 1 species
UACGUAGGGUGCAAGCGUUAAUCGGAAUUACUGGGCGUAAAGCGUGCGCAGGCGGUGAUGUAAGACAGGUGUGAAAUCCCCGGGCUUAACCUGGGAACUGCAUUUGUGACUGCAUCGCUGGAGUGCGGCAGAGGGGGAUGGAAUUCCGCGUGUAACAGUGAAAUGCGUAGAUAUGCGGAGGAACACCGAUGGCGAAGGCAAUCCCCUGGGCCUGCACUGACGCUCAGGCACGAAAGCGUGGGGAGCAAACG